CAGUGAGGAAUAUUGGUCAAUAGCCUGACGGCUGAACCAGCAAUUUGCAAUAAUGAGGAUAGGUAUUUCUAACGAGACCUGCAGUUAAUACUGUCUUGAUCCAGUGGUUUAUCCACAAGAAGUUAUGGAUAUAAUAAAGAUAAUGACUAUUUUAUAUUCAUUUUGUCUCGACAAAAUCACGUGCCAGCAGUCGCGGUAAUACGGGAGAGACUAGUGUUAUUCAUCUUUAAUAGGUUUAAAGGGUACCUAGACAGUUAAUUUAGCUCACACAAGAGUACAAAUUAUACUAGAGUUUUAUGUAAGAGAAUAAGUUUAGUACUAAUAGAGUAGAGAUGAAAUUUUUUGAUACUAUUAUGAACUGGUAACGGCGAAAGCAAAUCUUUAUGUAAAAACUGACGUUGAGGGACGAAGGCAUUGGUAACAAACAGGAUUAGAUACCCUAAUAGUCUUUGCAGUCAAUUAUGAGUGCCAUAGUUAAGAAAAUUUUUAUCUAUAAAUGAAAGUGUAAGCACUCCACCUCAAGAGUAAUGUGGCAACGCAGGAACUGAAAUCAUUAGACCGUUUCUGAAACCAGUAGUGAAGUAUGUUAUUUAAUUUGAUGAUCCGCAAAAAACCUUACCACAAUUUGAAUAUUUUUAGUGUUAUUACUAUUUAUACAAGUGUUGCAUGGCUGUCUUUAGGUAAUGUCGUGAGACGCAGGUUAGAUCCAUUAAAAUAACGCAAUCCCUUGCUUUAUUUAUUUUUAUAAGGCAGUUCUCCGGUAUAUCGGAUAAGAUAACAGGGAUCAAGACAAGUAAUCAUGACCUU
rnacentral:rRNA from 1 species